AGUCCUAUGGUCUAGUGGUAUGACGUUCGCCUCACAAAAAAUUCCUUUGUGUGCGCGACAGGUCCCGAGUUCGAUCCUCGGUGGGACUA